UACAGAGGUCUCAAGCGUUGUUCGGAUUCAUUGGGCGUAAAGGGCGCGUAGGCGGUGCGGUAAGUCACCUGUGAAACCUCUAGGCUUAACCUAGAGCCUGCAGGCGAAACUGCCGUGCUUGAGGGUGGGAGAGGUGCGUGGAAUUCCCGGUGUAGCGGUGAAAUGCGUAGAUAUCGAGAGGAACACCUGCGGCGAAGGCGGGUUGCUGGGCCGACACUGACGCUGAUGCGCGAAAGCCAGGGGAGCGAACGGG
rnacentral:rRNA from 1 species